rnacentral:tRNA from 1 species
GGGGAUGUGGCUCAGUUGGUAGAGUGCUUGCCUUGCAUGCAUAAGGCCCUGGGUUCAAUCCCCAGCACCA